GCCCGUCUAGCUCAGUCGGUAGAGCGCAAGGCUCUUAACCUUGUGGUCGCGGGUUCGAGCCCCACGGUGGGUG
rnacentral:tRNA from 1 species